UGACUUUCAUGACUCAUGGUAUCCUGGGC
rnacentral:piRNA from 1 species